GGUGUGUGUCUUUACGGCUGCCUUUCCCUCACCUCCAGUCUGGUCCACCGCUGAUCCCCGGAACUGCAGAGUGCCCACUCUCACACAGCUGCUCAGGGGUCGCGUGGGACCCGAAGAAGGCUCUCCAGAGCAGGGGCUGUUGGAUGCAUUUCAUGAUCUCAACAAAAUGAUUGUCCAGGGAUACAAGCAGGCCAGUGGAGUGUCCCAGCAGCUGCUACAGAAGAGCCUGAGCCUGCUCCCCCCAAACACGGGAGUUGGAGUUGUUCCGGGUAAUCGGCGCAUCUCCCCUGGUCAUGUCUCCUCCAAGCCACGCCUCCUUUAAGCUACACCUCCUCCAAGCCACGCCUCCUCCUCACCUAGCCCUGCUCUUUUAUGGAACCACAACCACCCAGCAGGGGGCAGGGCUGAAGCUUGGACCAGCCUGAACACAAAGACACCGAGAGAGUGGUGUUCAACAAUUGUUGCAAUUGCUUUUGUCAGGAGGACAUUGCACAAAUAAUGUUAUGUAAAUUCACUUAUAUGUUCCUCACAGCUGGUACAGUAUGUUCAUUUGACCAACGAUCUCAUUUGAAUGGAGAAAUCAC
ensembl:lncRNA